GCCGAGGUAGCUCAGUCGGUAGAGCAGAGGACUGAAAAUCCUCGUGUCGGCGGUUCGAUUCCGUCCCUCGGCA
rnacentral:tRNA from 1 species